UAAAACUCAAAUGAAUUGACGGGGGCCCGCACAAGCGGUGGAGCAUGUGGUUUAAUUCGAUGCAACGCGAAGAACCUUACCUGGUCUUGACAUCCACGGAAGUUUUCAGAGAUGAGAAUGUGCCUUCGGGAACCGUGAGACAGGUGCUGCAUGGCUGUCGUCAGCUCGUGUUGUGAAAUGUUGGGUUAAGUCCCGCAACGAGCGCAACCCUUAUCCUUUGUUGCCAGCGGUCCGGCCGGGAACUCAAAGGAGACUGCCAGUGAUAAACUGGAGGAAGGUGGGGAUGACGUCAAGUCAUCAUGGCCCUUACGACCAGGGCUACACACGUGCUACAAU
rnacentral:rRNA from 1 species